rnacentral:rRNA from 1 species
AGCGAGCUUGCCUAGAUGAUUUUAGUGCUUGCACUAAAUGAAACUAGAUACAAGCGAGCGGCGGACGGGUGAGUAACACGUGGGUAACCUGCCCAAGAGACUGGGUUAACACCUGGAAACAGAUGCUAAUACCGGAUAACAACACUAGACGCAUGUCUAGAGUUUGAAAGAUGGUUCUGCUAUCACUCUUGGAUGGACCUGCGGUGCAUUAGCUAGUUGGUAAGGUAACGGCUUACCAAGGCAAUGAUGCAUAGCCGAGUUGAGAGACUGAUCGGCCACAUUGGGACUGAGACACGGCCCAAACUCCUACGGGAGGCAGCAGUAGGGAGUCUUCCACAAUGGACGAAAGUCUGAUGGAGCAACGCCGCGUGAGUGAAGAAGGGUUUCGGCUCGUAAAGCUCUGUUGGUAGUGAAGAAAGAUAGAGGUAGUAACUGGCCUUUAUUUGACGGUAAUUACUUAGAAAGUCACGGCUAACUACGUGCCAGCAGCCGCGGUAAUACGUAGGUGGCAAGCGUUGUCCGGAUUUAUUGGGCGUAAAGCGAGUGCAGGCGGUUCAAUAAGUCUGAUGUGAAAGCCUUCGGCUCAACCGGAGAAUUGCAUCAGAAACUGUUGAACUUGAGUGCAGAAGAGGAGAGUGGAACUCCAUGUGUAGCGGUGGAAUGCGUANAUAUAUGGAAGAACACCAGUGNCGAAGGCGGCUCUCUGGUCUGC